rnacentral:lncRNA from 10 species
ACUUCCGGCUGUGUCGGCGCGCGAAAAAAGGUCCUGGGUUGGAAUGUUUGUACUGGUCUGUGGCGGUGGUUGUCGGCUGUCCUGCCAGGAAAACUCGGCACUGACUAUCCCACUGCUGAUGCUGUAAAAGAGGAACCAAAGAGAAGUGAAGGAAUGUGUCCAAGGGCUCCCAAGUUGGCGGUGGAAUUAGAAUUGAAGCCUCAGCUCCAAAGCCUGUGUUCUGAACUACCCGGUUGCAGUUCACAAAAUACACUUUGGCAGUACUUUCAUAACGAAAACAAAUGAUUACAACCAGUUUACAAAUGCUUUGCUUUACUGGAGGAUCGACAUGUUUGACUAAUUUUCAAAAAUAAAUCUCAGAAGCAGCAU